UAAGGUUAAGUUAAUAAGGGCGCACGGUGGAUGCCUUGGCACUAGAAGCCGAAGAAGGACGUGACUAACGACGAAAUGCUUUGGGGAGCUGUAAGUAAGCGCUGAUCCAGAGAUGUCCGAAUGGGGGAACCCACUAGUUAAUGACUAGUAUCCAUAUCUGUUAAGGAUAUGAGAAGGAAGACGCAGUGAACUGAAACAUCUAAGUAGCUGCAGGAAGAGAAAGCAAAAGCGAUUGCCUUAGUAGCGGCGAGCGAAACGGCAGGAGGGCAAACCGAAGUGUUUACACUUCGGGGUUGUAGGACUGCGAUAUAGGAUUAAUCAUUAUAGAAGAAUUACCUGGGAAGGUAAGCCAAAGAGAGUAACAGCCUCGUAUUUAAAAUGAUAGAUUAACCUUAGCAGUAUCCUGAGUACGGCGAGACACGCGAAAUCUCGUCGGAAUCUGGGAGGACCAUCUCCCAACCCUAAAUACUCUCUAGUGACCGAUAGUGAACCAGUACCGUGAGGGAAAGGUGAAAAGCACCCCGGGAGGGGAGUGAAAUAGAACCUGAAACCGUGUGCCUACAACAAGUUCGAGCCCGUUAAUGGGUGAGAGCGUGCCUUUUGUAGAAUGAACCGGCGAGUUACGAUAUGAUGCGAGGUUAAGUUGAAGAGACGGAGCCGUAGGGAAACCGAGUCUUAAUAGGGCGCCAUAGUAUCAUGUUGUAGACCCGAAACCAUGUGACCUACCCAUGAGCAGGUUGAAGGUGAGGUAAAACUCACUGGAGGACCGAACCAGGGCACGUUGAAAAGUGCUUGGAUGACUUGUGGGUAGCGGAGAAAUUCCAAACGAACUUGGAGAUAGCUGGUUCUCUCCGAAAUAGCUUUAGGGCUAGCGUCGAUGUUAAGUCUCUUGGAGGUAGAGCACUGUUUGGGUGAGGGGUCCAUCCCGGAUUACCAAUCUCAGAUAAACUCCGAAUGCCAACGAGAUAUAAUCGGCAGUCAGACUGCGAGUGCUAAGAUCCGUAGUCGAAAGGGAAACAGCCCAGACCACCAGCUAAGGUCCCAAAAUAUAUGUUAAGUGGAAAAGGAUGUGGGGUUGCACAGACAACUAGGAUGUUAGCUUAGAAGCAGCUAUUCAUUCAAAGAGUGCGUAAUAGCUCACUAGUCGAGUGACCCUGCGCCGAAAAUGUACCGGGGCUAAAACAUAUUACCGAAGCUGUGGAUGACACAAAAGUGUCAUGGUAGGAGAGCGUUCUAUGUGUGAAGAAGGUGUACCGUGAGGAGCGCUGGAACGCAUAGAAGUGAGAAUGCCGGUAUGAGUAGCGCAAGACAGGUGAGAAUCCUGUCCACCGUAAGACUAAGGUUUCCAGGGGAAGGCUCGUCCGCCCUGGGUUAGUCGGGACCUAAGGAGAGACCGAAAGGUGUAUCCGAUGGACAACAGGUUGAUAUUCCUGUACUAGAGUAUAUAGUGAUGGAGGGACGCAGUAGGCUAACUAAACCAGACGAUUGGAAGUGUCUGGUCAAACAGUGAGGUGUGAUAUGAGUCAAAUGCUUAUAUCUUUAACAUUGAGCUGUGACGAGGAGCGAAGUUUAGUAGCGAAGUUAGUGAUGUCACACUGCCAAGAAAAGCUUCUAGCGAUACAUAUACUCUACCCGUACCGCAAACCGACACAGGUAGUCGAGGCGAGUAGCCUCAGGUGAGCGAGAGAACUCUCGUUAAG
rnacentral:rRNA from 1 species